rnacentral:lncRNA from 1 species
UAGUGUCCAGAAUUAUCACUGGUACAGGAGCAUAUUUAUGUUAAUUUCUUAUUUUGGAUAUUCCUGAACAUUGAAGAUUUUGAAGCUAGUACAAAUUUGAACCACACACUUGUUCAUGAAACAGGCUCAGAGUACAAAUUCUUCAGGAACUCAAGCAGAGACAGGCUAUGAAAUGAUGAUGGCCAACCAUGGAUAGAAGCCAGUGGGGCUUUCUACUCUGCUUAAACUGUUCCCAUUCCAAUGUGCAAAACACUGCCCAAGAGUUUCCUUGUGGGAGACUGACAGACAGAAAAGAAGAAUGCAUUGUGUUCUCAGAGAACCCCAGAUAGGAAAAGAUUGGAGCUGCUGAGCUGAGAGCACUGAGAACUGAGAGUACUCAAUCUCUUAUGUCCUUUUGGAGGUACAGCAUGGGAGAAAUGGGGUCACCUGGUAGUAG